rnacentral:rRNA from 1 species
GACGAACGCUGGCGGCGUGCUUAACACAUGCAAGUCGAACGGAAAGGCCCUGCUUUUGUGGGGUGCUCGAGUGGCGAACGGGUGAGUAACACGUGAGUAACCUGCCCUUGACUUUGGGAUAACUUCAGGAAACUGGGGCUAAUACCGGAUAGGAGCUCCUGCUGCAUGGUGGGGGUUGGAAAGUUUCGGCGGUUGGGGAUGGACUCGCGGCUUAUCAGCUUGUUGGUGGGGUAGUGGCUUACCAAGGCUUUGACGGGUAGCCGGCCUGAGAGGGUGAACGGCCACAAUGGGACUGAGAGACGGACCAGACGCCUACGGGAGGCAGCAGGGGGGAACAUUGCACAAUGGGCGGAAGCCUGAUGCAGCAACGCCGGGUGCGGGAUGACGGCCUUCGGGUUGUAAACCGAUGUCGCCUGUGACGAAGCGUGAGUGACGGUAAUGGGUAAAGAAGCACCGGCUAACUACGUG